AAAAAUUCCAUGGCACAGAGUAUAAAUGAUCACUCCAACAAUAUGAUCACUCCAACGAAUAAACAAUCUAUCUCAAGCCACAGCAUAGACAUAAAAUAAUUUACAAGACAUUGUUAUACUAAAUAAUAGAAGACCGCACAUCAGUCUGCCUGUCUCGUGAAUUCAUUCACAGCCUUAAAACAGAAUCGAUUUGUCUCACAAACAAAACAAUAUUUACUAAUCCUUUUCAAGCACCUACACAAGCAAGGAUACCAAAAUCCAAUUACCAACUAAACUCAUCCUACUCCAUAAAGUGGCAUUCCA
rnacentral:misc_RNA from 1 species